AACGAACGCUGGCGGCAGGCUUAACACAUGCAAGUCGAGCGCCUCGCCAGAGGAGCGGCAGACGGGUGAGUAACGCGUGGGAACGUACCCUUAUCUUCGGAAUAGCUCUGGGAAACUGGAAGUAAUACCGAAUGUGCCCUUAGGGGGAAAGAUUUAUCGGAUAAGGAUCGGCCCGCGUUGGAUUAGCUAGUUGGUGGGGUAAAGGCCUACCAAGGCGACGAUCCAUAGCUGGUCUGAGAGGAUGAUCAGCCACAUUGGGACUGAGACACGGCCCAAACUCCUACGGGAGGCAGCAGUGGGGAAUAUUGGACAAUGGGCGCAAGCCUGAUCCAGCCAUGCCGGGUGAGUGAUGAAGGCCUUAGGGUUGUAAAGCUCUUUCACCGGAGAAGAUAAUGACGGUAUCCGGAGAAGAAGCCCCGGCUAACUUCGUG
rnacentral:rRNA from 1 species